GCCGGAUUGGCGGAAUGGCAGACGCAGGGCACUCAAAAUGCUCCGCCCGGAAGGGUGUGUGGGUUCAAGUCCCACAUCCGGCA
rnacentral:tRNA from 1 species